UUUUAUUGGGCGAGGCUCAUCUCGUUUAUUUUAAAAGGACAAUCCUAAAAUGACUACAUUUUCUAAUUAAGUUUGUCUCUAAAAAAUGAAAGAGGAAAAGGUCCUAAUUAGUUUACACGCUUGAAAAGUUCGAGCCUUUUAUUAAUUAUUAGAUUAAGACAAAUGUUAAUGAAAAUGAAUAUUACCAAAAUUUGAAAUUAUAAAGAGAAUACGGAAUUGACCAAUAAUAUAUUCAAAAGAAUCUAAUUAUCCUAUAAUUAAUUUAAACACAUAUGGUUAGACGAAUAAACUAUUGCAAUUAAUUAUUUACAAUUAUUUGAAGCUAGAAUUAACCCCUCUUAUUAUUCCUUAUUCAAAAAGUUUAUUAAACUUAAAUAUUAACUCGUCUUGCUCAACUCGCACUUAUCGAAUUAAUGUUCUUAGCCAAUAUCGGACCCACAUGCAGAAAUCAUCAUUGAUAUAUUAAGUAAUUCUUAAUCAAGGAAUUCAACAUAACUGACUACAUCUUGGUUGUGGACUUUAUCCAAGACAACCUAAACAAUUGUCAAUUAACAAGGCUUAUAAAUUAGUUACAAGAUGACUCUAACGUUUUGGAGCAGAUUUACCUUAACUGCUUUUGAUUCCUAUUAACUCACAAUUAUUAUUAUUCCGUUUCCCAAAUUAACCAUAAGAAGAACCUAUCAACCUAUUUGCUAAUAUUGAAAGUUAAACUAAUCACUGAAGUGAGAUUAUACUUAUGCUAAUAAAUAACAAAUAACUACAACAUCCCUGCUUAUCUGUUUUUAACACAAUGCUAAAAUGGAACCAAUACUAAACCAUAGUAAGGCUAGAACCUGAUGAUUACAAAUUUGAUAGUCAUGAGACAGUCUAAAUCAUACAGCCUAGUUUUCAAUUCCACAAUGCAGACAGAAGUAUCAAUAUACUACUAACCAAGUUGUAAAAAUUAUCUAGACAUACAGAAUUGUUAAAAUAACAAAGCAAAAUCAGAAUUUUGGGCUUCGACUUCAUUUCAUGCUUUCAACAAGAGAUACUACAUCAAAUACAUCUCGAAAUAUACCUGGAAUUUAGAAAAAAUGAAGAGGAAGUAAGAUCAUGAGCAAUAGCAACAACACAACAACACAGCAAUAAGACCAGUAACAGAGCGGUAGCAGAAAUCACAAUGAACUUUCAACAUAAAACCAAAACACUCAACUAAACCCAUGUUCAAAACCCAACAAAAUAGCCCAGUAGCAGUUUCCACAGCAAAACAAGAAACCAGGAACUUAAUAAAGUAACACUCGGAACAAACAAUAGACCCAGGCAACAACAAUUGAAACCAAGCAAUACCUGAAAAACAACACAAGCAAGCAGAAGAGAAGCAGCCACAAAAGAAGCCUCACUUUCAGUGCCUAAAUUCUCACAAAUUAACUGACUUCUUGAUGUCAAAGUUCAGCCUUAGACUCUAUCUUUUAAGUUCUGAAAAUCUGAUCUCCCCUCAAUUCUUUCUCUCCCCCUUUUUCAUAACAGAUUGUUCCCCCCUUUAUACUAAAACUUAAACCCCUCUUUUACCACCUAAGUGGGCAUCCCACUAAUCCUUCUAAAUUAGCCUUAGUGUUCUAUCCACUAGCCCUUUUUAUUAACUUAUUCAAUCCCUUUUACCCCCACUAUGCUUUGUUACCCACUAUUGUAUUAGUUUAAUGACAAUUAACACCCCAUUAUUAUAUUACUAAUUAUCACAAAACUUUCCUAUUUUUAUUCCUAAUUUGCCCUUGAAAUACCCCAACUAUUACUUUAUUACCCUAAACUGAAGUUACAUCUAUGUAAAUUCAAAUCUGAAACUAAUUUUUUGUUAAACACCUAAAUUACUACAGCUAUAUCCAAUCUUUCUGCCAAUUGAAUUACUAAGGUUAAAUUAAGUUGAAACAAAAGAAAAGAACUUAAAUUAAAAUCAUCACAAAACUCAACAGAAGCAUAAAAACUGAAGCUAAAAUAUAAUCAAAAUCAAGACGGAUGCAGGGAUUAAACUAACACGAUUUUAACUCGAAUCUAUACAAGAAUGCCGGAUCGUUGUUAGUAUAUCGACAAUACCCUGAAGCUAAGAGCCCAAAAAAUCAAUAUAUACAACAUCUGACCCCAAACCAUUUGACGACAUUUAUUUAAACGAUUAUACUAACACAAUUGGUAACAAACAGACACGAUCACACAAACAGGGUGAUUCCUGUUUGGACAGAAAUAGGGGACCUAUUUAGACUAACUAAAUCUCCUAAAUUAAUUGAUCGAACGCAUAGAGUCUAACACAUACUCAUUUAGCAAAUGAAGAAAUUUGACCACAUAAAGGUCUAUGAAGAAGAGGCAGAACAAUUGACAGAAAGCCGGAAAAAUAAAAGUAAAAUAAACAACACAUGUGAAUAAUUAAAAAUAGAACAAAGGAAGAAGUAUUACCUCAGAAGAAAAAUCGGAAAACAAAAACAGACUCGGGCCAAAUUUGGACUUGAAAAUCUUUGAGGUCAAACGGACCUUAAUCGAGCGUUUUCAAUUGAAAACACUUCGACUAAGGUCCCUUGAACACCCAAAUUCUUCAAUUUGGAUAGAAAUCUGUCUUGAAUUUUUCUAGGGUUCUUGGGCUCGGAUUUAGGGCUUUAACAUUUUUGGGCAUAUUUUAACGGAACCAAAGUGAAUUUGGGGUUGAUUGGUGUAGGUUUCCGUUUAGCUCGAAUCUUCAAAUGAAGAUUUGAGAAGCUCUGAGAUGAUUCGAGCCAAACGGUUUGAGGAUUCGUGUUGGGGAUAGCUGGAGGGUCACAGUGUGUUAAUUUGGUGAUCAACGUCGUUUUUGCCGCGGGGUUUAAUGGUGGAGGAAAAGGGGGCGGCGCUAGGGUUUGCAUCAUCUCUGAAAGAGACGAUGAAUAGGGAUACGAGGGGGGUUUGGUUAGGGGGGCUGGGGUAGGAGAUUGGAUUUAUAUAGG
rnacentral:lncRNA from 1 species